rnacentral:rRNA from 1 species
UACGAAGGGGGCUAGCGUUGUUCGGAAUCACUGGGCGUAAAGGGCGCGUAGGCGGCUUUAUAAGUCGGGGGUGAAAUCCUGGAGCUCAACUCCAGAACUGCCUUCGAUACUGGCGACCUUGAGUCCGGGAGAGGUGAGUGGAACUGCGAGUGUAGAGGUGAAAUUCGUAGAUAUUCGCAAGAACACCAGUGGCGAAGGCGGCUCACUGGCCCGGUACUGACGCUGAGGUGCGAAAGCGUGGGGAGCAAACAGG